AAAGGCAUUGUUUAUCAUUUUUGAGAAACCUUUUCAAAGGCAUUGUUUAUCUUCUUUCUAGAAACCUUUUUAGUAGCGUUUAAUUUAUUUUGAUACUAUCCUCUUCAUUAAAGUUUCUACAACCAAGCUUCCGCUGUGAGGAGAUAGUUAUCACUCAACCCAACCAACCUUUCAGAAAUAGACAAGUCAGGACACAUUUCACUUACAAAUCUUAUGGCGUAUAUGUCACUGUUGUUCUUUAACCUGAGUUCAUCAAAUUUGUUCUGCAAAGAGUGGCGUGGCUAGCUAGAAUUGGCAGCAUUCUGUGAGUUCACUGAUGACUUUUUAUAAAACGUCUUGUUAACAGAAUAAAUUUUCAAUUUUCAAA